rnacentral:rRNA from 1 species
UACGUAGGGUGCAAGCGUUAAUCGGAAUUACUGGGCGUAAAGCGUGCGCAGGCGGCUUUGCAAGUCAGAUGUGAAAUCCCCGGGCUUAACCUGGGAACUGCAUUUGUGACUGCAUGGCUGGAGUGCGGCAGAGGGGGAUGGAAUUCCGCGUGUAGCAGUGAAAUGCGUAGAUAUGCGGAGGAACACCGAUGGCGAAGGCAAUCCCCUGGGCCUGCACUGACGCUCAUGCACGAAAGCGUGGGGAGCAAACAGG